AAACUUUCAACAACGGAUCUCUUGGUUCUGGCAUCGAUGAAGAACGCAGCGAAAUGCGAUAAGUAAUGUGAAUUGCAGAAUUCAGUGAAUCAUCGAAUCUUUGAACGCACAUUGCUCCGCCAGCAUUCUGGCUGGGCAUGCCUGUUCGAGCGUCAUUU
rnacentral:rRNA from 1 species